rnacentral:misc_RNA from 1 species
AAGUCGUAACAAGGUUUCCGUAGGUGAACCUGCGGAAGGAUCAUUCACAUCAUUAUGAAUACAUGGUAUUCGCGUACCAUGUACUCUUUCUUCUUUUGAACGCCUAAAUUGAUGGUUUGUGCAGUACAUUCACUUGUGCUGCUGCAAAUUUGUGAGAAUCAGGUGGAAUAACUUUGGUAGGAGGGACAUGGUUGGGUUAAACUGACCGUGUUUCUUCUAUGUUUUGCGCUCCCUUUUUCUUAAGAUCUCUCCACAUCGAUUGUUAUGGCGUUCUAACCCAGUUAUUUCACCGAACCUCAUUUUAUUAUUUAUUAUAUAUAUAUUUCAUAAUCAAUUGCAACAACAACGUAACGUUAGUUACGUGUGUAAGAAACAAACAAACAAAGAACAACUCUUUGCAAUGGAUAUCUUGGUUCUC